UCUUGUGAUGAAAUACUUUUAUAUGCAUUGCUUUAUGCACCACUAGGCCCCAGAGUGCACAGGAACUGUAAUGGAGUAGUGGUGUAACACAAAGCAAUCACUGCUACAGAGAUGCCUCAAGCCAAAGUUUUAAUGAGCUGUGUGCUCAUAGGGAUGUGGGAAAAUAAUGUAGCACCAACACCUGGUAGGAUAAUUACAUUUCUAUCAUAUUUUACUGGCAAGAUCUGAAUAGUUGACAAGCAUCCUACACUAGACUGGACAUUAUGCAUUACAAUGUAUUUGAAAAAUCAACUCCUGUCGUAAAGAACAUUAAAGCUUAUUUUUGGAGGUCGGGAGACACAGCACAACUUAUAGGCAAUUAGGAACGUGGACUGGUACAGAAAGAUGGAAGGGACCCAGCUAUUCUCAUCUCAAGGCUCUAUGGCUCUGUUUAUUCUGAAUGGAGACGUUCGCCAACUCAGUGUGUUUUUCUACAGCCAUUCUUGAUAAGGAAGCUGGGUGUGUCACUGGGGAGGAGAGCAUAUGGGCACCAGCCAGUAGAUAAGGUAGGUCACUGGGAACUGCCAUCGUCUUGGGCAGCAGGAAGACAUGAUCUCUUCCACCUUCCCUCCGCCCAUGAAGUAUUGCUUAAACUCCAAUAUGUAACACAAACAAUACAAAUAAAGCACCACAACAGCU